AGAGUGCGUAAUAGCUCACUGGUCGAGAGACGCUGCGCCGAAAAUGUCCGGGGCUCAAGCACGGAACCGAAGCUAUGGCAUGAUAGCAAUAUCAUGGGUAGGGGAGCGUUCUUAUAAGGAAGAAGCAUGACCGGAAGGACAUGUGGACGAAUAAGAAGUGAGAAUGCCGGUAUGAGUAUCGAAAAGAAAGGUGAGAAUCCUUUCCACCGAAAGCCCGAGGGUUCCUGAGCAACGAUCGUCGACUCAGGGUAAGUCGGGACCUAAGCCGAGGCGGAAAGCGUAGGCGAUGGACAACAGGUUGAAAUUCCUGUACCGGAUCAAGUCGAUCGAGCGAAGGAGCGACGCAGGAGGGCACAUGAUCGCGCGGCUGGAAGAGCGCGUCCAAGUGCGUAUGUUGCAGCAGAGGAAAACCCCUGCAGCUAAAAGCAGAGACAUGAUGGGGAGUUAAAGGAAACUUUGACGAACUCAUGGAUCCCACACUGCCAAGAAAAACUUCUAGCGAGACAAGAUCCGCCCGUACCGUAAACCGACACAGGUAGGCGGGGAGAGAAUCCUAAGGUGCGCGGGAAAACCCUCGUUAAGGAACUCGGCAAAUUGCAUCCGUAACCUAGGGAGAAGGAUGGCCCCCGGUCAGUGAAGAGCAGAAACGCUCAGAGCUAAAAGGGGCGGCAGAAAAGAGGCCCAAGCAACUGUUUACCAAAAACACAGGUGCCUGCGAAAGCGAAAGCUGAAGUAUAGGUGCUGACGCCUGCCCGGUGCCGGAAGGUUAAGGAGAGAAGUUAGCGAAAGCGAAGCAUCGAACUGAAGCCCCGGUGAACGGCGGCCGUAACUAUAACGGUCCUAAGGUAGCGAAAUUCCUUGUCGGGUAAGUUCCGACCCGCAUGAAAGGCGUAAUGAUUUGGGCACUGUCUCAACGAGGGGCCCGGUGAAAUUGAAAUACCUGUGAAGAUGCAGGUUACCCGCGACUGGACAGAAAGACCCCAUGGAGCUUCACUGCAGCUUGAGAUUGAAUCCCGGUGACAGAUGCACAGGAUAGGUGGGAGGCGCCGAAGCAUUGCCCUAGGGCGGUGCGGAGCCGAUGUUGGGAUACCACCCUUCUGUUGCUGAGAUUCUAACGCGAGGAGUAACGACCCUGCGGACCCUCUCAGGCAGGCGGUUUGACUGGGGCGGUCGCCUCCGAAAGAGUAACGGAGGCGCCCAAAGGUUCCCUCAGGCCGGACAGAAACCGGCCGAAGAGUGCAAAGGCAGAAGGGAGCUUGACUGCGAGACCAACAAGUCGAGCAGGGACGAAAGUCGGGCUUAGUGAUCCGGUGGUACUGGGUGGAAAGGCCAUCGCUCAACGGAUAAAAGCUACCCUGGGGAUAACAGGCUAAUCUCUCCCAAGAGUUCAUAUCGACGGGGAGGUUUGGCACCUCGAUGUCGGCUCAUCACAUCCUGGGGCUGGAGUAGGUCCCAAGGGUUGGGCUGUUCGCCCAUUAAAGUGGUACGCGAGCUGGGUUCAAAACGUCGUGAGACAGUUUGGUUCAUAUCCAUCGCGGGCGCAAGAAGUUUGAGAGGAGCUGCUCCUAGUACGAGAGGACCGGAGUGGACGGAUCAACGGUGUCCCAGUUGUCACGCCAGUGGCACGGCUGGAAAGCCGCAUCCGGGAAGGAUAAACGCUGAAAGCAUCUAAGCGUGAAGCCAACCUCAAGAUGAGACUUCUCAUCAGCAAUGAGUAAGACCCCUUACAGACGAUGAGGUAGAUAGGUUAUGAGUGGAAGAGCCGCAAGGCUUGGAGCGACAUAAAACUAAUAGGUCGAGGUCUUAACUUA
rnacentral:rRNA from 1 species